AACGCACAUUGCGCCCUUUGGUAUUCCGAGGGGCAUGCCUGUUCGAGCGUCAUUUCAACCUUCAAGCUUCGGCUUGGUAUUGGGCCCUAUCGUCCUUUUUUUAAUCGGACGUGCCCGAAACCCGUAGGCGGUGGCCCUCAGCUCCCCAGCGUAGUUAAAAACAUUCCGCUUCGUGAGUCUGGGAGUCGCCCGCCCGACAAACCAUUUUUUUUUUACUGAAGUUUGACCUCGGAUCAGGUAGGGAUACCCGCUGAACUUAA
rnacentral:misc_RNA from 1 species